rnacentral:ncRNA from 1 species
UAUAAAGUUUUAUUUUAACUUAAAAAUUUAUUAUUAAUUUAUAUUAUAUGUAAAUUUUUGUGUGAGCUUAUAUUUAUUUAAAAAAUAAAUAUUAUAUAUUUAUAAAAUAUUAUUUACAAUGAUUAAUAUUAUUAAUUAAAGAAAUUUAGAAAUAGAAAUAUUAAUUAAAUAUUGACUUAGUUUGUGCCAGCAGUUGCGGUUAUACAAACAAUAUAAAUAAAUUUUAUUAAUAGUAGUUAAAUAGUUAUAUUUAUUAAAAUAAAUAUAAAUUUAUUAAGUGAAAUUUUAAAUUUAUAAAUAUUUUUAAAAAUUAAAAUUUAUUGAAGCUAAGAAUUUUUAAUUAAAAACUAGGAUUAGAUACCCUAUUAUUUAAAAUGUAAUAAAUUUAUUUGAGUAGUAUUAGUUAUAUUCUUGAAACUUAAAAAAUUUGGCGGUAUUUUAGUCUAUUCAGAGGAACUUGUUUUUUAAUCGAUAAUCCACGAUGUACCUUACUUAAAAUUGUUAAUCAAUUUAUAUAUCGUUGUUAUUAGAAUAUUUUAUAAGAAUAAUAAUUUUCUAUAAUUUGUAUAAAAAUUAAUAUCAAAUCAAGGUGUAGUUUAUUUUUAAGUAUAAAUGAGUUACAAUAAAAAAUAUUUAUUUGGAUUUAAAUAUGAAAAAUUUAAUGAAAUUGGAUUUGAUAGUAAAAUUAUAGAGAUAAAUAAUUUGAUUUUAGCUCUAAAAUAUGUACAUAUCGCCCGUCACUCUUAUUAUUAAAAUAAGAUAAGUCGUAACAUAGUAGAUGUACUGGAAAGUGUAUCUAGAAU